GGGGGGGUUCCCGAGCGGCCAAAGGGGACGGACUGUAAAUCCGUUAUCUACGAUUUCGAAGGUUCGAAUCCUUCUCCCCCCACCA
rnacentral:tRNA from 1 species